CAUGCACCAGUGGGGUCCCUCAGCCUGGCUUGCACCCUCUCGCAAUCUGGGACCCCCUCGAGGGAUGUUGGAGAGCCGAUUUCGGCCCUAUCCCCGCAUGCCAGGCUGAGGGACCCCACUGGUGCACA
rnacentral:pre_miRNA from 1 species